rnacentral:lncRNA from 1 species
CUCCCAGUGGAGCAACAAUCAGGAAAAAGAAGAAGAGAAGCGGCUUCAUCCAACGACCAAAGCAAAAACGAAAAUUAGCGAUUGGCAGGCGGGAAAACCUCCGUACGCAACCAAGAAUCUAGGACUUCCCACACUCGCAGGCUCAUAGCCGCCCCCCAAUCUCUCCAGUUGAUAGCUGCCAAAUCGCAGACCCAUAUCUUAUAGACUUAUUCUAUAUUUAUUUGCAUUUAAUUUUGCCGGACUUUUAUUCCGGUUCAGGUCGCCGAUCCGUCCGGUGGGAUUUUUGAAAAGAGUACGAAAUAAUUCAAAAACUAUGGUAAUA